rnacentral:lncRNA from 10 species
AGACGCGGGGUCAGCGGCUCAGAGCGCGGCUGUGUGGGGCUGCGGGGCUCCCGCCAUGCCCGCUGGGGUAGGUCCUGCGGACCCCGGCCACUGGAGCCACUCAUCAUUUCCGACGGAUGGGCCGGAGGGGCCGCCGGCCGCCCCAGCCAGGGUCUCGGUAGCCUGCAAGGAGAGAAAGAGGUGGGAGCAGCCCGCGCGGGGCCCUGCGUCUUGCAUAGGCGCUUCUGGUAAAAUCACUCCUUUAUCUCAGAUAAUGAGUUGGCGCUGGAUCGCUGCGUCCUCAGGUGGGGCUCGAAUCGUGACUUUUAGAGAAAUAGGUUUUCUUUCUUUUUUUUUUUUUUUAACAACAUGGGGUUUAAAGGGCGCGGAAUUGGAAGCAGUCGUCACCCGGAGGCCUGGGCGUGCAAGCACCGAAGCUCUGGCUGGCCCUGAGCCUCCCCACCCCACCCGCUCUUUUCGCUGGAACGCGUGUACUUUGGGCAGUUGCUGACGUGGAGACAGGACGUAUGUCUUCAUAUUUUAGUAAAACCCAAUGCCCUCUGCCUCUCUGAUUAUGUUCUUUAAGUUAUCGCCAGUUCCAAUUUGUAUUUCUUGGAAACGGUUGGGUCUUCCCUCACUUUUCAGUAUUUUCAUGUAGACUCAAAUACUCUGGAUUAAUAUUUGUAUUUGCCCAAACCAUCACGAGCACCUCUUACCCUGAUGGGCAAUACUUCAGUGUGCUGCGUUCUGGCCACAGAGCAAACAGGGUGCUCCCAGGCACUGCCCUCUCGGAUUUCUUGCCUUGUUAUUUAAUCAUUAAGAUCGUGACCUAUGAGCAGGACUGUUUCCAGCCAGCACAUACACAUGUCCUCUCCUGGCCAGCAUCCAUGCUGAUUAGACGGUGCCCCUGCCAUACUAGCUGCCUAAUAUUUCAGAUACCCCACCCCGUGUGUGUGUGUAAAUCAUGUCACUGCCCUCUUUGUAGCUAAUGACAAAAUUCCAAGAGUCACCAUUAGCCUAGCACAUUAUGCCUGUCUCAUUUCUGCCCACUUUGGAGCACUCGGCUUCUCUGCUGUUUUCCUCCAGAGCACACUGAAACACUGCCAUAGCACAGCAGGGCAUAGAAGACAGGCUCAUGCUCCCCUGGACGCUCAGGCCUUCACCUCGGGCACACUAGGUCUUGUCAUUCCAUGUCAAGAAUAGCUCUUCACUGCCCUCACCCACCCAAGAAUGGCUAAAAUUAAAAGGACUGACAAUACCUAGUUUGUCGAGGAUGUCACAGCUGGAACCCUCAUACAUGGCUCAUGAAAUUGAUAAAACCACAUUGGCAAACUGGUAGUAUUUACAAAACCUAAACAUAUGAAUACCUGAUGACCAACUAAUUCCUCAACUCACCCAAGAGAAAUGAGAGCUUAUGUGUACCAGAAGACAUGAACAAAACUACCCACAGCAGCUUUCUUCCUGAUGGCCCCAAACUGGAAAUGAUCCAGAUGUCCAUCCAUAGGAAAAAAAGAUUUUAAAAAGAAAGUAUGGCAUGUUCACAGAGAGGAAAUUCUGUACAACAAUGGAAAUGGGCACACAACCACAACCCACAACAAUGUGGAUGAAGUGUACAAUGAAGUCAGACCCCAGAAUGUACAGACAAUUCCAUGUGUGUGAUGUUCAAAACCAGGAAAGCAAAUCCAUCAUGACACAGGCUGGGGAUGUGAAGGAAACUCCAGCCACCCUGCCCCUGUGCUCUGA